UCCCUGGUGGUCCAGUGGAUAAGUCUCUGCGCUCCCACUGCAGGGGCCUGGGUUCAAGCCCUGGUCGGGGAA
rnacentral:tRNA from 1 species